rnacentral:rRNA from 1 species
GACGAACGCUGGCGGCGUGCUUAACACAUGCAAGUCGAACGGUAAGGCUCCAGCUUGCUGGGGUACACGAGUGGCGAACGGGUGAGUAACACGUGGGUGACCUGCCCUUCACUUCGGGAUAAGUCUGGGAAACUGGGUCUAAUACCGGAUAGGACCAUGGGGUGGAUGGUGGGGGGGGGAGUUUUUUCGGGGUGGGAUGGGCCCGCGGCUUAUCAGCUUGUUGGUGGGGUAGUGGCCUACCAAGGCGGCGACGGGUAGCCGGCCUGAGAGGGUGUACGGCCACAUUGGGACUGAGACACGGCCCAGACUCCUACGGGAGGCAGCAGUGGGGAAUAUUGCACAAUGGGCGGAAGCCUGAUGCAGCGACGCCGCGUGGGGGAUGACGGCCUUCGGGUUGUAAACCCCUUUCGCCAUUGACGAAGGGUUUGUGACGGUAAAUGGAGAAGAAGCACCGGCUAACUACGUG